rnacentral:tRNA from 1 species
GCGGGCGUAGCUCAGUUGGUAGAGCGUCAGCCUUCCAAGCUGAAUGUCGCGGGCUUCGAGCCCCGUCGCCCGCU